ensembl:lncRNA
CUCCCAGCAUUGCCCCCCCUGCUCUGCAGAGUGCUGCCCAUGGGGGGAUCCACUCCCCAUCCUGCAGCACAGCACUCCCAGCGCCGCUGUCCCUGUUCUUGCAGCAAGGUGGAGGGGGCUCUGGAGGAGAAGAUCCCUCUCUUUGUUGUGUGCUUCCGGAGCAUCUUCCUGCUUCCCUCAGAGCAGGACCUGGACACAAACCUUUACUCCAAGACCCUGAGGGCUCUGGAUGAGAUGCUGCACUCAUUGGUGUUCAUUCACCCCAGCACCAGCAUCGGAGAGGAGCUGAAAGACGUCUUCCAGGUGCUGCUGCCCUUCACCUCCUUACAGAGCUCGACCGUG